AUGCAAGUCGAACGAAGUAGCAAUACUUAGUGGCAGACGGGUGAGUAACAUGUAGGUAUCUGCCCUUUGGCCUGGAAUAACACGAGGAAACUUGUGCUAAUACCGGAUAAGUCUUUACGGAGAAAGCUUUAUGCACCAUUGGAUGAGCCUGCACUUGAUUAGUUUGUUGGUGGGGUAAUGGCCUACCAAGACUUUGAUCAAUAGCUGAUUUGAGAGGAUGAUCAGCCACAUUGGGACUGAGACACGGCCCAAACUCCUACGGGAGGCAGCAGUGGGGAAUCUUGCACAAUGGAGGAAACUCUGAUGCAGCGAUGCCGCGUGAGUGAAGAAGGCCUUUGGGUUGUAAAGCUCUUUCGUCGGGGAAGAAAAUGACUGUACCCGAAUAAG
rnacentral:rRNA from 1 species